GCCGAGGUAGCUCAGCUGGUAGAGCGGCGGUUUCGUAAACCGCAGGUCCCCGGUUCAAGCCCGGGCCUCGGCUCCA
rnacentral:tRNA from 1 species